rnacentral:rRNA from 1 species
UACGUAGGUGACCAGCGUUGUCCGGAUUUACUGGGCGUAAAGGACGCGCAGGCGGCCCGAGGGGUCUGUCGUUAAAGCCCGGGGCUCAACCCCGGGUGGUCGGCGGAGACCGGCGGGCUUGGAGGCCGGUAGAGGGAUGCGGAAUUCCCGGUGUAGUGGUGAAAUGCGUAGAGAUCGGGAGGAACACCAGAGGCGAAAGCGGCAUCCUGGGCCGGGCCUGACGCUGAGGCGUGAAAGCGUGGGGAGCGAACCGG